GGCAAAGUGAUAAAAAGUAAAGAACAUUUGACUCGAAGUCAAAUGACCUGGAUUUGAGUCUCAGCUCUGCCA
rnacentral:tRNA from 1 species